UAGAACACAGUGGCACUUUGUUAAAAACAAGUUUGCCUUGUCACCGCCCAGCCUUCCAGUUUCUGCUGCUUUAUCUCUUUAAUAUACUGAUCACUGGAAGCGGGGAGCCUGCCCCAGGUCAGGCUCAGUGUGUGGGCCCCACUACCUCAGUUCUGACAGUCUCUGACAGUUACCUCAUAGGCAGCCGAGGUGAGGCCCAGUGUGUUGAGCUUUGGGGUGACGAUGGUUAGCACUGUUCCUCCAGUCCAGAUGCUCUCAGAGAAGCUGUCCCGGGAAGGGAACCUGUCAGCUUCCUGGCUGUAGCUCAUAAACAGGCCACAGAGAAAAGCCCCAGUGCUUCAUGGCAGUUCACUGGCCUUAAUACUGUGCAGAGAGGUUUUCUAGGUUUUAAGAAUAAUUUAAGGUUAAAAUUAAAAAAUAAAAUAAAAAGCACACUAGAUGGCAGCACCUUGACACUGUAGGCAGAUGAAUUAGCCCAGGCUAGACUUGUAGAUAGCACAGCCCACCAGGAGGCGGGGCUGGGGAUGCAUAAGUUCAUUCAGUUUUCAACAAGAGUGGCUGCCUUGAGGGAGUGAGGUGUGGUCAGGAAUUGUGGCAGCAAGGAGCUUCAGUGUGCGUCAGGGUAGCCUGUAGUUUUUUCUAUGAGCUCUGAAAACACCCCCAACCAUAUCUUGAUUGUGACAGUGAAGAGGGCUGAGCUUGCAGGGCAGCUGGGGUGGGGAUCGGUGGGGGCCCUUCCUGUAGCUCAGGCCCAAUGCCCACUUCCUGUGGCGCUUGUGGCAGUAGAGGCUUAGGUUUCCAGGUAGUAUCAGGUGGACUUGGCCGCUGCACUAUGCUCAGAGUGAGCCCCCCUGCAGUCUUUCAUGUUCUGAGGAACUACUGUCUGCCUGGGUUUUACCAGGAUAAGUAGAGUGCCCUUAUUUUACCUCUGGCAUCCAGCUGGGUAGAGGAAACCCGAAUCCCCAGGCGGAGUGGACUCAGUCAACCCCAAGCAGAGGAUGUGAGCAGAACCAGGAGGCGCCUCCCCAGAGCUGUGGCCUUUGUGGGCCUCCUGAAUCCACCUCCAGCCCCAGUUUCAGCUUCUCACUUCUUACCUCCAGACCCAGGUGAGGUGUGGGGCUUCCCUUGUCUCUCCCAGGUUGAGGGUUGCACAUACCCAGUGUUGUACCAAGCAGACCCAGAGACAUUUUGUGGGUUUCCCAAGACAGGGAUUCUCUGUGUAGCCCUGGCUGUCCUGGAAUUAGCUUUGUAGACCAGGCUGUCCUUAAACUCAGAGAUCCGCCUAUCUCUGCCUUCUGUAAGUUCUGGGAUCAAAGUGGUGGGCCACCACACCCCACCCCAAGAGGGCUUCCACAGGGACAUUUCCUGUGUCUCACAAGCCAGCUGUUCCAGGGUCAUCCUUGAGUUUGUUUACGUUCUAACAGUUGGCAGCUCUGGCCAGUUGAUCAUGUCUGCUGAGAGGAGGGAGGCAACAGCAUCCUUCUGUCGUAAGUGGGAGCGCAUUCGUGACUCCCUGCACUUUGAGGCUGGGCUCAGAGAGCUCUGUCCCAGGUCAAGUUCUAACAGUCUGUUCAGUCUGUUCUCUUUAGAGUCUCAGUUCAGUAACUCAGUUGAAAUGGUGACCCCCCUCACGGUUACUGGAGAAGGCUGGUAGCCGUGCGGAGGAUGCCGUCCCCCCCCCCACCCCUGCCCACACCGUGCAGUGGCACACUUGCACAGCGAGUUUACCAUAAGCAGGGCAUACCUGCGGGCAGGGCUCCUUUUGCUCUGUCCUGAGCACAAGAGAAACCUUUGGGGUCUGACUGAUCCUUGCACAUGAGCAUCCCGCAGGCCCCGUUACAGCACCAAGGCAGUCAGUGAGGUUCGCCUCUGCCUAUGCUCCAAUUCCUGACAGAGCCCUGAAACCUGAGCUCCACUGCUGUGGGGCUCUUCUUGUCUUCCUAUUCUUCAGGGCUCAUUUCCAUGGUGGCUGCCCUCCCAGCUUCCCUUACUAGCACUAAGAUCAGAGAAGGGGAAACGGGCCUUGAGUCAGGCUCAGCACCCAGCACCCCGCUCCCCUUUCUGGUCACAGGGAUGGUGCGUCCGUCCUCCAGUGUGUCUGCCUUCUCCCUUUUUCUAAUUGCACUACACUUGUUCUGGCUGCAGUCUAGAGAUGUCCAAGGUCUCCAUGGGGUCCUGACCAUUAGACUCAGCAAGUCUGCCUUAGCUCUAGAGCGACGUGGUGAGGAAUCACCAUCUCCUGGUGUCUCGAGCCCAUUUCCCCAGGCUGUCUCUCUCUGUAGCUUAUGUUCAUCCGAAACAUUUCCUUCUUAUUUACUGAAGUACUGUACUUGGCUAUCUGCACUGUUUUAAGAACCAAACAUUUUUGUGUUUUUAACCCUCAACACUUGGUGCAUUAGCAGCCGCGAAGACGUGCCACUUUAUCUUUGGAACUGAUUUUGUAUACCAAUAAAUUCUAGUUUAAAAGCAAA
rnacentral:lncRNA from 1 species